GACCCGACCGCUAUCGGGGUGGGGCUAAGCCAUGGGAGUCGCACGCUCCGCCGCUGCGGGGCGUGGCGCACGGCUGAGUAGCACGUGGCUAACCUGCCCUCGGGAGGGGGAUAACACCGGGAAACUGGUGCUAAUCCCCCAUAGGGGAAGGCGCCUGGAAGGGUCCUUCCCCGAAAAGGCCCGGCAGGGGUUAACGCUGCCGAGCCGCCCGAGGAUGGGGCUACGGCCCAUCAGGUAGUUGGCGGGGUAACGGCCCGCCAAGCCGAUAACGGGUGGGGGCCGUGAGAGCGGGAGCCCCCAGAUGGGCCCUGAGACAAGGGCCCAGGCCCUACGGGGCGCACCAGGCGCGAAAACUCCGCAAUGCGGGAAACCGUGACGGGGUCACCCCGAGUGCCCCGAAGAGGGGCUUUUCCCCGCUGUAAAAAGGCGGGGGAAUAAGCGGGGGGCAAGUCUGGUGUCAGCCGCCGCGGUAAUACCAGCCCCGCGAGUGGUCGGGACGGUUAUUGGGCCUAAAGCGCCCGUAGCCGGCCCGGCAAGUCCCUCCUUAAAGCCUCGGGCCCAACCCGAGGACGGGGGGGAUACUGCCGGGCUAGGGGGCGGGAGAGGCCGGCGGUACUCCCGGGGUAGGGGCGAAAUCCGUUAAUCCCGGGAGGACCACCAGUGGCGAAGGCGGCCGGCUGGAACGCGCCCGACGGUGAGGGGCGAAAGCCGGGGGAGCGAACCGGAUUAGAUACCCGGGUAGUCCCGGCUGUAAACGAUGCGGGCUAGCUGUUGGGCGGGCUUAGAGCCCGCCCAGUGGCGCAGGGAAGCCGUUAAGCCCGCCGCCUGGGGAGUACGGCCGCAAGGCUGAAACUAAAGG
rnacentral:rRNA from 1 species